rnacentral:sRNA from 1 species
GCUGGGCGAGGUGGUGCAUGCCUGUAAUCCCGGCAGCUUGGGAGGCUGAGGCAGGAGGAUCAUGAGUUCAAAGCCAGCCUCAAAAAUAGCGAGGCACUAAGCAAUUCAGUGAGACUCUGUCUCUA